GACGAACGCUGGCGGCGUGCCUAAUACAUGCAAGUCGUGCGGACCUUGUUGAAAGCUUGCUUUGAAAAGGUUAGCGUCGGACGGGUGAGUAACACGUGGGCAACCUGCCUGUAAGACUGGGAUAACGCCGGGAAACCGGGGCUAAUACCAGAUCUUUUUUUCCUCCGCAUGGAGGAAAAAGGAAGGGCGGCUUCGUCUGCCACUUACAUAUGGGCCCGCGGCGCAUUAGCUAGGUGGCGGGGUAAUGGCCCACCAAGGCAACGAUGCGUAGCCGACCUGAGAGGGUGAUAGGACACAUUGGGACUGAGACACGGCCCACACUCCUACGGGAGGCAGCAGUAGGGAAUCUUCCGUAAUGGACGAAAGUCUGACGGAGGAACGCCGCGUGAGUGAAGAAUGCCUUCGGGUCGUAAAACUCUGUUGCCGGGGAAGAACGAGGGCCGUUCGAACAGGGCGGCGCCUUGACGGUACCCGGCCAGAAAGCCACGGCUAACUACGUG
rnacentral:rRNA from 1 species